rnacentral:rRNA from 1 species
GACGAGCGCUGGCGGCGUGCUUAACACAUGCAAGUCGAACGGUAAGGCCCUUCGGGGUACACGAGUGGCGAACGGGUGAGUAACACGUGGGUGAUCUGCCCUGCACUUCGGGAUAAGCCUGGGAAACUGGGUCUAAUACCGGAUAGGACUCCUGCCUGCAUGGGUGGGGGUGGAAAGCUUUUGCGGUGUGGGAUGGGCCCGCGGCCUAUCAGCUUGUUGGUGGGGUGAUGGCCUACCAAGGCGACGACGGGUAGCCGGCCUGAGAGGGUGACCGGCCACACUGGGACUGAGAUACGGCCCAGACUCCUUCGGGAGGCAGCAGUGGGGAAUAUUGCACAAUGGGCGCAAGCCUGAUGCAGCGACGCCGCGUGAGGGAUGACGGCCUUCGGGUUGUAAACCUCUUUCAGCACAGACGAAGCGCAAGUGACGGUAUGUGCAGAAGAAGGACCGGCCAACUACGUGCCAGCAGCCGCCGCCG